rnacentral:rRNA from 1 species
GUGAGGAAUAUUGGUCAAUGGGCGGGAGCCUGAACCAGCCAAGUCGCGUGAAGGAAGAAGGAUCUAUGGUUCGUAAACUUCUUUUGCAGGGGAAUAAAGUGCAGGACGUGUCCUGUUUUGUAUGUACCCUGAGAAUAAGGAUCGGCUAACUCCGUGCCAGCAGCCGCGGUAAUACGGAGGAUCCGAGCGUUAUCCGGAUUUAUUGGGUUUAAAGGGUGCGUAGGUAGUGUGAUAAGUCAGCGGUGAAAGUUUGCAGCUUAACUGUAAAAAUGCCGUUGAAACUGUCGGACUUGAGUGUAAAGGAGGUAGGCGGAAUGCGUGGUGUAGCGGUGAAAUGCAUAGAUAUCACGCAGAACUCCGAUUGCGAAGGCAGCUUACUAAGCUACAACUGACACUGAAGCACGAAAGCGUGGGGAUCAAACAGGAUUAGAAACCCUUGUAGUCC